rnacentral:lncRNA from 1 species
GGGGAGGAGGAGCUGAGGGCUCAGGAAGCGCGAGCGUCACGUAGCCGCCAGAGCGCCCCUCCCCGCCCCCCCCAAUCCCGCGGGACCGGCGCUCCGCGAAGGGGAACCGGUGGCUGGGGGCCAGAUCCAAGCCUCCUCAUCUGUGACCCACGCCACAGCUCAUGGCAGCACUGGAUCCUUAACCCACUGAGCCAGGCCAGGGAUCAAACCUGCUUCCUCACAGAUACUAGGUGGUCUGGAGCUCUUUCUCAUCAUGGCGUCUUGGAGCAUGACAUUGCCACCUUCUCCAUCCACCAGCAUCCAGAAGGAAUUCCCACUGUGGUGCUAGAUCGGUGGCAUCGUCGCAGGACCAGGACAUGAGCUGUGGUGGAAUUAUUACCCGUUGGAUGUCACAUUGCUACAAAAUUUUGACAGCUUCAAUGGAGUCAGGCUGCCUGUUGUUUUUUCUCGAGAGGCAGGGGUCUGGACCCAGCCAUCUUCUCUGGUGAACACUGAGCCGGUAAUGUAUUUUUAUCUUUUUUUAUUUCCAUUAUAGCUGAUUUAUAGUGCUCUAUUUCUCUUUAAUAGCAAAGUGAUCCAGUCGUACAUGUAUAUAUAUAUCAUUUUUCCCACUUCUUCCAACUUGUUCCAAGAAAAAGUGACUAGAUAUAGUGCCCUGUGCUAUAGAGCAGGAUCUCACUGCUUACCCACUCCAAGUACUAGAGUUUGCAUCUAUGAACCUCCAAAUCCCACACCUUCCCACCCUCCCCCUCCAAUCUGGCAACUACAAGUAUGUUUUCGAGUCCAAGAUUUUCUUUUAGGUAUAAAGGUUCAUUUGUGCUAUUUGUUAGAUUCCAGAUCCAAGGGUAUCCUAUGGUAUUGUUUUUCAUUUUCUGACUUAUUUCACCUCAUAUGAGAGUUUUUAGUUCCCUUGAUGUGGCUGUGAAUGUCCUUUUUGGAUUUUUAGGUUGCGUAUUAUUCCAUUGUAUAUAUGUACAACGUCUUCUUAAUCCAUCCAUCUGUUGAUGGACAUCGAGUUUGUUUCCAUGUCUUGGCUGUUGUGAAUAUUGCUGCGAGAAACAGAGCUGCACAAUUAUCUUUUAAAAAGAAUAUUCGUCCUGGUGUAUGCCCAACAAAGGGAUUGCUGGGUCAUGCAUUUGUUCUGUAUGUAACUUUGGGUUUACCUUGAUUGUGUUGUCCAAGGUAUUUGUACCAAUUUGCAUACCCCCUCUCCCUGUAGGAGGGCACCCUCUUCUCAACACCCUCUCCAGGAUUUGUUAUUUGUAGACUUACUAAGGAUGGCCAUUGGGACAGGUGUGUGGUGGUACUUCAGCGUCAUCGUGAUUUGCAUUUUUCUCCUAAUGAGUCAUGGUGAUUCUUUUUCCCUGGUGCUUGUUGCCCCCUGUAUAUCCAGUUUAGGGAAAUUUUGCUGCGUCCAGCACUUCAGGGAAAUGGGGUAUCCUGGAAGAGGGAUGGUGCUGUUAUAACAAAACACGCAAGACUACUUUACAUCUAGAAAUCGGGGGACCAGGAGGCACUCUGUUCCUAGAACAGAGGCACCUAGGCUUUAGCCCUCAUGACUUUUAUUAAGGAAGGUGAUGAGAUUAGUGGGGAAGGUGAGGGAGAUUAGUAUUAGUGGAAUUAAGACAGGUGACAAGAACAGGCACAGGCAAGGGAGGUUAUCUUCUUAGUGAUAUCAAAGGGGGUGCCCUUAGGAUGUAGUGCAGUUGUUUAUAAUAGAGUACCUUGACUAUCUCGUGUUUGAAGGAGACCCUGUACUUCAGAAUGCUGCAUUCACAGAUAUUUGUCUUCUGCAGAGUUCAGCUGUUCAGUGGUCUCCAAUAUCUCCCCCCCACCCUUUUUUUUGUUUGUUGCAUAAGAACAGUCUUAGUACAUUUUGAUUGCAGCGUGUUCAUUAGAUUUCUAUGGAUCAAUCCGAUUGUGCAGACCACGUCCGUGGCAGGUCUCCAAGAUGAACAGGUACAUUCGAGGGGUGUGGGUCUGUCUCCAUCCUCGUGGGAACCUAUCAUUCCAGCCCUUUUUUUUAUGGGGUAGGGGCAGCAGUCCUCUCUUCUGUAGCUGCUUCCUGCUCGUUAGGAGUGACGAGUACUGGAUGGCUGGAUGUGGUAGGUUCCCACUACAGAUGAUGGGAAGAAAAGAAAAAUAAGAUUUAACAGAGGUUUGGAAUUUAGGUUGAUACAGGUACUAUUGAAGGAGGAGUGUAGUUUUAUCUCAGCAGGUUUAAAUGUUUGAUGUGGUAUUUAAGACAUAAAUAACAGGAGCUGUUGGUCCUUAGACAUGUUUCCUCCUUUCUGUUGUUAUAAGAGGAGACCUUGGAGGAGACCUUGGACUAGGGACCAUGAGGUUGCGGGUUCGAUCCCUAGCCUUGCUCAGUGGGUUAAGGAUCAGGUGUUGCCAUGAGCUGUGGUGUGGUGCAGACGCAGCUCAGAUCUGGAGUUGCUGUGGCUCUGGUGAAGGCCAGCCGCUACAGCUCCGAUUAGACCCCUCACCUGGGAACCUCCAUAUGCUGAGGGUGCGGCCCAAAAAGAAAGACAAAAAAGACCAAAAAAAAAAAAAAAAAAA